UCAGCUAGAUUAAGACCCAGAAAGGGGAGUUCCUAUCAAAGAUGGUACUAUAGAAAAGGAUUUCUGCAGGCUGCACAAGAAGCACGGCACCAGCAUCCACUUAUGAUGAGGAUAUCUGGCUGCUUUCACUUAUGGUAGAAGGGGAAGAGGAGCCAGCAUGUACACAAAUCCAUGGCAAGAGAGAAAGCAAGAGACAGAUAAAGUGAGAAAGACCAAGAGGAGGUGCCAGGCUCUUUUUAACAACCAGCUCUCACUCAUUACAGCAAGGACUGCACCAAGCCAUUCAUGUGGGAUCCACCCACGUGACCCAAACACCUCCCAUUAAGUUCCACCUCUAACACUGGAGAUCAAAUUUUAACAUGAGAUUUGGAGGAGUGCAAUAUCCUUACUGUUGCAUUUUGUCUCUGGCCCAAAACUUAUGUUCUUCUCACAUUUUUCCAGUUUUUAUGCUGUUUCCCUUUUAAUUAUAAAUACCACCUUUGGGGCAUUCUUUUGUUACUAA